AGCCUGAACGCUGGCGGCGUGGCUAAGACAUGCAAGUCGAACGGCUGUAGCAAUACAGCAGUGGCGGACGGGUGAGUAAUAAAUCGCUAAUGUACCCCGGAGCCAGGGAUAGCUGUCCGAAAGGACAGGUAAUACCUGAUGAGACCACGAACAGGCAUCUGUUUGUGCUCAAAGCAGCAAUGCACUCUGGGAGCAGGCGAUUACGUAUCAGCUUGUUGGUGAGGUAACGGCUCACCAAGGCGACGACGCGUAGCUGGUCUGAGAGGACGGCCAGCCACAUUGGGACUGAGACACUGCCCAGACUCCUACGGGGGGCUGCAGUAACGAAUCUUCCGCAAUGCACGAAAGUGUGACGGAGCGACGCCGCGUGUAGGAUGAAGUCCUUCGGGAUGUAACUACUGUCGAGGGGAAAGAAGUUCUGAUCUACCCGAGAGGAAGGGACGGCUAACUCUGCGCCAGCAGCCGCGUAA
rnacentral:rRNA from 1 species